GGUGAACGCUGGCGGCGUGCCUAAUACAUGCAAGUCGAGCGAACGGACGAGAAGCUUGCUUUUCUGAUGUUAGCGGCGGCCGGGUGAGUAACACGUGGAUAACCUACCUAUAAGACUGGGAUAACUUCGGGAAACCGGAGCUAUUACCGGAUAAUAUUUUGAACCGCAUGGUUCAAAAGUGAAAGACGGUCUUGCUGUCACUUAUAGAUGGAUCCGCGCUGCAUUAGCUAGUUGGUAAGGUAACGGCUUACCAAGGCAACGAUGCAUAGCCGACCUGAGAGGGUGAUCGGCCACACUGGAACUGAGACACGGUCCAGACUCCUACGGGAGGCAGCAGUAGGGAAUCUUCCGCAAUGGGCGAAAGCCUGACGGAGCAACGCCGCGUGAGUGAUGAAGGUCUUCGGAUCGUAAAACUCUGUUAUUAGGGAAGAACAUAUGUGUAAGUAACUGUGCACAUCUUGACGGUACCUAAUCAGAAAGCCACGGCUAACUACGUG
rnacentral:rRNA from 1 species